AACAAACAUACAUACGUACAUACAUACAUAGUUAUGAAAAUAACGCGAAAAGGGGUGGGGUGGCAACCCUGGCGGUGCGUGCACGAAAAAUAAUGGAAAUGGAAGAAAACCAAAUGAAAUGCGAAAAAUGUACGAAAAUUUUCACAUUCAAUGACCUUGACAAUGGCUUUGGCCCAAGUCGCUCAACUUGUUUAUUUCAUUUACUUCGCUUGACGUGUGUGAGCGUAGAAAACGUGACGAGUUACGUACUUUUGGAGAAAGGUCAUUGAUCAUGGCUAAAUGUUGUUGCUUUUCGCUUAAUAGCGGUUUCAAAGUCAACAUCAACGCGCUGUUUUUGGCCAUUUCAGUAUUUCUAGUUUCGAUACCCCCAUCACCGUCCCUCCGUCGGAUUCCGGCGCUUUUUCGAACUGUUUCCCUUCAAAAACAGCUUUUUUUUCUUGAAUUCAGUGGCGCAAGGUUAAUAGUGCCGAAAACCGAAGCCGUUGGCCCGGGGAAAUUUCUGCGAGUUUUUUCGUCGCCUUGCCAAAAAAAAAAUAAGCAAACGAUCGAGCAACGAACUUCAGAAAAGCAAAUAGAGCCAACAAAAAGGAUCUCGCUGCCUGUUAUGUGGCCCACAAACCAAGACACGUUUUAUGGCCAUUAAAGCUGGCUGAUCGACGCCAAACACCAAAUACAUAAUGAAUAUGUACAUUCGAGAAAGAAGCGAUCAAAGAAGCGUCUUCGGGCGGAGUAGGAGAAUGCGGAGGAGAAGGAGAACGAGCUGAUCUAGUAUCUCUCCACAAUCCAAUGCCAACUGACCAACUGGCCAUAUUCGGAGCAAUUUGAAGCCAAUUUCCAUCGCCUGGCGAUCGCUCCAUUCUUGGCUAUAUGUUUUUCACCGUUAGCCGGGGCCAUUUCCAAAGACUCGUCUGCAAGAUAAGAUUGUGUCACUCGCUGUCUCUCUUCUUUAAUCGAAGAAUGCUGAAGAAUUUCGCGAUGACGUCGGCGAGUAUUUCCAAGAAUGAGAAUAAUUUGUAUUUGUUUGAACAUCAGUUAGUGGAAUUUUCUACAAAAACAUGUUGACUAUGAUAAAGAACUGGAAUUAAGUGGCAUAUUUUGCAUUGAUUUCCGAUAUUAAUUAUAUUUCAAUAAAAUAAAGCUUUUGUAAAGUAAAAUAAAUACCUUUAAUGUAUUAUUAUUUUCUUAUACUGAUGAUAUUUUAAAGAUGAUGCCUGACCAAAAAGCUUGAAUUUCUGCGUUUUUCGCCGAACCCAGUGCAUGUGCAAUUGUUGUUUUUUGGAAGAUUCGCAAUUUUCGAACUGUCCUCUUUGAUUUCAGUUUCUUGGCUUAAUCAAAAAGCGAAAUAAAGCCAAAAAAGCGAGAUGGCAAUACCAAAUGCGGCAAAACGGUAGAGGAUGGAGAGGGGUGCGGGGCAGCGGAAGGAAGGGUGGGGCGGGGCGUGGCGGGGUCUGUGGCUGGGCGCGACGUCACCGACGUUGGAGCCACUCCUUUGACCAUGUGUGCGUGUGUGUAUUCGUGUCUCGCCACUCGCCCGCUUGUUGUUUUCUUUUUAUGCUGCGCUCUCUCUAGCGCCAUCUCGCUCACGCAUGCUCAACGCACCGUAUGUUGCCGUUUCCUUUUAUGCGUCAUUUUGGCUCGAAAUAGGCAAUUAUUUAAACAAAGAUUAGUCAACGAAAACGCGCAAAUAAAUAAGUCUUCAAUAUGGUUACUUAUUGCCAUGUGUGUGCAGCCAACGAUAGCAACAAAAGCAACAACACAGGCGGCUUUCCCUCUUUCACUUUUUUGUUUGCAAGCCGCGUGCGAGCGAGAUGGCACGACCGGCAAACGCAAUCACGCUGACGAAGUUUUGGCGAAAAACAUAAAGGCGCCUGAUAGGAAUGCAUUUUCAAUAACAAAUGCGAUAUUUAAUAUUGUUCGAACAGUUGCAUAGUUCGACUUGAAAAGACACAAAAAAAAAAAAAAAAAAACAAAUUAUUUGGAAGAGAAUUAAGAAUCGGACGCUUAUCAUUGGGGCAACAACAAGAAAUGCUUACUGAGUCACCACAGCCUCUGGAAAAAUGCCGCAAGCCAGAGAGCGAGAGAGAAAAAGAGGGAGAGCAGCUUACACCGCAUGUGUUUGUGUGUGAGGCGUCUCUCUCUUCGUCUCUGUUGCGCAAACGCAUAGACUGCACUGCAAAUAUCGAUUACCUAUUUUUUAUGAAUGAAUAUUUGCACUAUUACUAUUCAAAACUAUUAAGAAACCAAUCACUUCCAAUCGCCACAUACUUUAACACCUAAGCUAUGCAACGAAAUGAUCAAUUUGUGCCAAAAUGCUGCAUAUUUAGGACCAGCAUCAUUUUUCAAAUGCUUCUUGCUGUGUACUUUUCUCUCGUCUGGCAGCUGUUUCGCCGUUAUUGUUAAAACCGGCUUUAGUAAGGUGUCUUUUUCACGACUAGUGAAUGCCCUACUAGAGGAUGUUCAACAGCUUAGGGAAAGAAGCGUGUGUUGCACAUGUUUUUUUUUAUUUUUUUAUAAACAUCAUUGAUCAAUGGUCCCUCGAAAAACCAAUUUAAAGUGCAGAUAGCAAUUUCUUAUUGGAACUCAAUGUCCUUACAAAAAGGUUGCUCUCAAACAGUAAACGUAAGCUAAUAAGAAUUAUUACUGUAAUGUUUUAAUACCGCUGUACAUUACUAAUAAAACUACGACCAAAAUAUGUACAUAUAUUUUUUGGCAUACAAUGAGUAGUUGGGGAAAAAAUGUGUAAAAGCACCGUGACCAUCACAGCAUAAAGAUAACCAGCUGAAGUAUUGAAUAUGAGUAACCCCAAGCUGAAUCACAUGCCACAACUGAUAGGACCCAUGGAAGUACAAUAUACAUGGCGAUAUACAAGACACACACACGCACGCACACCCAGUUGCACUUGGGCAGAGGAAAUUCUCCGUAAAUGAAAACCGAAUCGGCGAACAAUUCAUACCCAUAUAUGGUAAAAGUUUUGAACGCGACUUGAGAGCGGAGAGCAUUGCGGCUGAUAAGGUUUUAGCGCUAAGCGGGCUUUAUAAAACGGGCGGCGGGACCAGUUUUCAUAUCACUACCGUUUGAGUUCUUGUGCUGUGUGGAUACUCCUCCCGACACAAAGCCGCUCCAUCAGCCAGCAGUCGUCUAAUCCAGAGACACCAAACCGAAAGACUUAAUUUAUAUUUAUUUAAUUAAUUUU